AGAGAGGUGUCCGAGUGGUUGAAGGAGCACGCCUGGAAAGUGUGUAUGCGCCUAAAGCGUAUCGAGGGUUCGAAUCCCUUCCUCUCUGCGA
rnacentral:tRNA from 1 species